UACGGACGGGUCUCGCGUUGUUCGGAAUUACUGGGCGUAAAGCGCACGUAGGCGGAUCAGAAAGUCAGAGGUGAAAUCCCAGGGCUAAACCUUGGAACUGCCUUUGAAACUCCUGAUCUUGAGGUCGAGAGAGGUGAGUGGAAUUCCGAGUGUAGAGGUGAAAUUCGUAGAUAUUCGGAGGAACACCAGUGGCGAAGGCGGCUCACUGGCUCGAUACUGACGCUGAGGUGCGAAAGCGUGGGGAGCAAACAGG
rnacentral:rRNA from 1 species